rnacentral:rRNA from 1 species
GAUGAACGCUGGCGGCGUGCUUAACACAUGCAAGUCGAACGGAAAGGCCCAAGCUUGCUUGGGUACUCGAGUGGCGAACGGGUGAGUAACACGUGGGUGAUCUGCCCUGCACUUCGGGAUAAGCCUGGGAAACUGGGUCUAAUACCGGAUAGGACGAUGGUUUGGAUGCCAUUGUGGAAAGUUUUUUCGGUGUGGGAUGAGCUCGCGGCCUAUCAGCUUGUUGGUGGGGUAAUGGCCUACCAAGGCGUCGACGGGUAGCCGGCCUGAGAGGGUGUACGGCCACAAUGGGACUGAGAUACGGCCCAGACUCCUACGGGGGGCAGCAGUGGGGAAUAUUGCACAAUGGGCGCAAGCCUGAUGCAGCGAGGCCGCGUGGGGGAUGACGGCCUUCGGGUUGUAAACUCCUUUCGCUAGGGACGAAGCGUUUUUGUGACGGUACCUGGAGAAGAAGCACCGGCUAACUACGUG